GCUGGUGUGGCUCAAUGGUAGAGCAGCUGAUUUGUAAUCAGCAGGUUGAUGGUUCGACUCCGUUCACCAGCU
rnacentral:tRNA from 1 species